GUCAGUUUUUUGUCAUUUCUUUUCCUGUGGUUGAUUCUAGUUUCAUGCCUUUGUAGUCAGAGAAUAUACUUGAAAUAAUUUCUGUAUUCUUAAAUUUGCUGAGGUUAGUUUGUAUAUGGUCAGUCCUUGACAAUGUUCCAUGUGUACUUGAAAAGAAUGUAUAUUCUGAUUUUUUUUGGAUGUAAUGUCCUGAAAAUAUCAAGAAAGUCUAACUUUUCUAUUGUGUCAUUUAGGAUCCCUGUUGCCUUAUUGAUUUUUUGUCUAGAGGAUCUGUCCAUUGAUGUGAGUGGAAUGUUAAAGUCUCCUACUGUUAUUGUAUUCCCGUCAAUUUCUCCUUUUAUGUCCCUUAGUAUUUGUUUUGUAUAUAUGGGUGCUCCUAUAUUAAAGGCAUAUACAUUGACAACUGUAAUAUCCUCUUCUUGGAUUGUUACUUUUAUCAUUAAAUAGUGUCCUUUUUUUAUUACUCAAAUGAAUUUAUCACAUCUGUAGCAAUAUAAUGAUCAUAACAAUCCGAUUUCACAGGAUUGCCAUCCCGCAGCCCAAGCACAUCCCCCCACCCCCAAAUUAUCUCCUCCGGAGACCAUAAGUUUUUCAGUGUCUGUGAGUCAGCAUCUGUUCUGCAAAGAAGUUCAGUCUGUCCUUUUUCAGACUCCACAUGUCAGUGGAAGCAUUUGAUGUCGGUGUCUCAUUGUAUGGCUGACUUCACUUAGCAUGAUAAUUCCUAGGUCCAUCCAUGUUGCUAAAAAUGCUGAUAUUUCACUCAUUUUAAUGGCUGAGUAAUAUUCCAUUGUGUAUAUGGACCACAUCUUCUGGAUCCACUCCUCCGUUGAUGGACAUUUAGGUUGUUUCCAUGUCUUGGCUAUUGCAAAUAGUGCUGCAGUGAACAUCGGAGUACAUGUGUCUUUGCGAGUUGUGGUUUUCUCUGGAUAGAUACCCAGGAGUGGGAUUGCUGGAUCAAAUGGUAGUUCCAUGUUUAGUUUUCUGAGGUAUCUCCAUACUGCUUUGCACAGUGGUUGCACCAAUUUACAAUCCCACCAAGAGUGUACUAGGGUUCCUUUUUCUCCACACCCUCUCUAGCACUUAUUGUUUGUAGACUUUUGGAUGAUGGCCAUUCUGGCUGGUGUAAGGUGGUAUCUCAGAGUGGUUUUGAUUUGCAUGUCUCUAAUAAUGAGUGGUGUUGAACAUCUUUUCAUGUGUUUUUUGGCCAUCUGUAGGUCUUCUUUGGAGAACUGUCUGUUUAGAUCUUCUGCCCAUUUGUUGAUGGGGUUGUUUGUUUUUUUGGUAUGGAGCUGCAGAAGGUGUUUAUAAAUUUUGGAGAUUAAUCCCUUGUCAGUUGAUUCACUUGCAAAGAUGUUCUCCCAUUCUGUGGGUUGUCUUUUCGUUUUGUUUAGGGUUUCCUUUGCUGUGCAGAAACUUUGAAGUUUGAUUAGGUCCCAUUUGUUUAUUUUUGUUUUUAUUGUCCAUACUCUGAUAGGUGGAUCUGAGAAGAUGUUGCUGUCGUUUAUGUCAGAGAGUGUUUGGCCUAUGGUUUCCUCUAAGAGUUUGAUAGUGUCUGGUCUCACAUCUAGGUCUUUAAUCCAUUUGGAGUUUAUUUUUGUGUAUGGUGUUGGGGAGUGUUCUAAUUUCAUUCUUUUCCAUGUGGUAAAUAGUGUCCUUCUUUAUCUUUCUUUAUGGCCUUCAUUUUAAAGUAUUUUGUUAGAUAAUGAGUAUUGCAACUCCUGCUUUCCCAUCUUUUCCAUUCACAUGAAAUAUCUUUUUCCAUCCCCUCACUUUCAAUUUAUAUGUGUCCUUUGCCCUAAUGCAAAUCCCUGGUAGGCCACAUAUUGUAGGCUCUUGUUUUUUUAUCCAGUCUGCUACUCUAUGUCUUUUGAUUGGAGCAUUCAUCCCAUUGACAUUUAAGGUAAUUAUUGAUAGAUAUGUAUUUAUUGCCAUUUUAAACCUUGUUUUCCAUUUAAUUCUAUAUUUCUCCUUUGUUUCUUUCUUUUUUUGGGUGGAUUCUUUCCUUUUAUUUUAUGCUUGAAUCCUCUUCUUUUCAGUUUUUGUGAAUGUAUUGUUUGGUUUUGAUUUGUGGGUGCCCUGUUUUUCAAGUAUGUUAACCCCUUCCUAUACCCGCUUGCUUAGCCUGAUAGUUGUAUAGGUGCAAACACAUUCUAGAAAAAGAGAGUCUAGAUUUUCUUACUUUCCUUCCCCACAUUUUACGAUGUUGAAGUCCCUUUUUAACAUCUCCAUGUUUUUCCUUUUGCUGUUCCUUGUGUUUGUCAUUGCUUUUACAAUAGGUUUUUUUUUUUUCCUUUAAUUCUGUAUACUGGCUUAUUUAAGUGAUUCCUUUCCAAUUGUGAUUUCCUCCAUCCUAUUUCUUCUUACUUCUUUUUUUAUUUAGAGGAACCCUUUCAGCAUUUCUUUUAGAAUGGGUUUAGUAUUGCUCUACUCUUUUAGCUUUUGUUUGUUGGAGAAAUUCUUUAUUUCUCCUUCUAUUUUAAAUGACUAUUUUAAAUUAUAUUCUUGCUGGGUAGUAUUCUAGCCUAUAGAUUUUUCCCUUUUAGAACUUUGAAUGUAUCUUGCCACUCUCUUCUGGCUGAUAGUGUUCUGUAGAGAAACCAGCUGAUAGCCUUAUGGGGGUCCCCUUAUAAUUAAUUCUUUGUUUUUCUCUUGCUGCGUUUAGAAUCCCCUCUUUAAAUUUUGCUAUUUUUAUUAUAAUAUGUCUUGGUGUGAGUCUGCUUGCAUUCAACCUGUUUGGGUCCCUCUGUACUUCCUGUACCUUGAUAUCUGUUUCCUUUAGAUGUGGAAAGUUUUCAGCCAUAAUUUCUUCAAAUAUAUCUUCAAUCCCCUUUUCUUCCCCUUCUUAUGCAUAGAUUGGCCUGCUUUCUAUUAUCCCAUAUGUCUCUUAUAUUGCUUUCUUGUUUUCUUCAUUUGGUUUUCUGUCUGCUGUCCUGAUUGGUGAUUUCCAUUAUUCUAUCUUCCAAAUCAUUAAUUUGGUCCUCUGCAUUAUUCGUUCUGCUCGUUGGUGUCUUUAACUCAAUUUGUGUUUCUGCAAAUGUUUUCUAAUUUUUCUUGACUCCUUCUUAUGUUUUCUAGUUCCCUAUUAAUCUGUAUUACUGUUCAUAUCCAGUCUUAACUCCUUCAUAUUUGCCCUUAAUUCCUUCAGUAUUUUCACUAUCUCAUUUUUGAACUUUGUGUCUAUUAUACUGCAGAGGUCUGUUUCAUUGUUCGCUCCUUCAGGUGAAUUCUGUUUUUUGUCUGGAAAUUGUUCCUGAGCUUCUUCAUUUUGCUUAUACUUUUCUUAUUCUGUGAGUGUAGGGAAAACAACUACUGUAGUCUUGAAGGGCUAUUUAUAUGCAAGAGUGCCCCUGGUAUUUUGUGAGAGCUUACUAUUUAUUUUUGGCAUAAGAGUUUUGAUGCUUGGUGUCUCUUUCCUUAGUGUGUGCAGACUGUUAUCCCCUUGAUAGGGUGUACAUGUGCUUCCAGAGAGAUGGAGGCAAUGGGCAGGGCUUGCAGCCAAUGCCAGGUUACUGGGCCCUUGACAAUAGCAAGGAUCCACAGGAAGGUGGUGCAGGCUGCCUCUAGUUGCAGGGCCUUGGGAAGUGGCAGUGAACCUCAGGCAGGUUUAGGUGGCACCUGGGGCAUUUGGCAGCAGCUGUAGCAGGGUAUGUGUGUUCCCAUGGGAGUGACAGCAACAGUGGGUGGUGCUCAGUUUCACUGCUCUCCUCUGUGCCAACCUCUGAGGUGACUAAGGCUGUAGGUAGUGCCUGUUCAUGGACCCCCAGUGGUGACCCACACUCACCUCAGGAGUCAGAGAUUAUUGUGGUGGUUUGCUGCUUUGGAGCAUGCAAGAAGCAACCUGUGAUGCUUAGCCUGUGCAGGAGGUACCAUAAACCAUAGUCCCCACAAGAGGUGCCUUGCGAGCCAUAGGCAAAUCCUCCAAGAGUCCAUGUGUGCACAGAGAAAGAUAUUCUUAUGGCAGUCUGCCCCUCCUCCUCUUUCCCUCCCCAGCAGUGACACCUUGCUUCUCCUUUGCGCCCUGACCUCCUCCCAGGCUCCAUUGGCUGUGGUGCUCUGCUCCCCAGCUUUUGGUGCACUGCUCUUCAGCUCCCUCAGGCUGUUUCUAUACUGCCAACUCUUGUCCUCUCCCCAGAACUGACCUCCAGAGCCUACAUCUUAGAGCUCAGCCCAAACCCAAGUGUCUCAGGCUGUGGUGUCCAGGAGCAGUGAUACUGAUGGUUUUUGCAGCUCUCUCUCUGCUUUGCCCUCAGUCCAGCUGCUGUGCUUUUCUCUGAGGCUUUGAGGUCCCUCCAUCUCAGCUAAUCUCCCCAUCAGUUAGGCAGCUUCUCAGGGUGUGUGUUCCUUUUCUCUUUCACAGCUCCCUCUCAGGAGUGCUGGUCCCAUCCUGAUUCCUGUCUCUCUCUCUUUUUUUUUUUCUUUUGUUCUACCCAGUUAUGUGAAGGGUUUCUUGACCUUUUUGGAGUUAUAUGGUCUUCUGCCAGCCUUCAGUAGAUGUUCUGUGCAAAUCGUUCUACAUGUAGAUUUUUUUUUUUAUCUGUUUGUGGGAGAAAGAGAGUGCCAUGUCUUACUCCUCUGCCAUCCUGAUCCCGCCUCCAAGAAAAUAAGUAUUAAUCUCUGCCUCACAUUAUAACAGAUGACAGCCAGCAGCUAAAGAGCUAUAGAGUUGUAGAGUUGUUGUAGGGUUGCAGCUACCCAGCCUGAGCAUCUCUCUGCAUCAAGAGAAGCCAUGGAUGAAUUCUUACCAUUGGAAUGGGAACGGGAGUGAUCUAGGCAUGACUCUCGGGCAAAAGUAUCAAAGAAGCAAAUGUGCCUGCUUUAUUUGCUCUUUCCCCCUCCAAGCUAUAUGGAUGUUAACUUCCUGUAUUGAAGAUAGUUGGGCUUUGCCCUGUCUCCUCCUGGCACUGACAAGGAAUUCCUAUAUGGGACAAUUAGAUGAGUGAGAAAUAAAAUUCUUAUUACUCAGAUUUGGGCUUUUCCUUGUUAUAUUAGCGCCUCUUAAACAAUGUAAGUCACAUACUUAUGCUUUGCCAAUAUCAUGUUGGCUGCUGUAUGGAGAAUAUCUUUUAGGUGGUAGGUGGUAGCAGCAGGGGUGGGAGCAGGGAAGUGAGAUAAGUAAUCCUAAUGGGACUAAUGGUGGCUUAGAUUAGAUUGGUGGCAAUGGAGUGAUGUAAAGUGGAAAUACUAGAUAUAUUUUGGAAGAAUUUUCUCUGAAACUGGCAAGAUGUAUGGGUGAAUUGGAUGUUGGGUAUGCCAGAAGAGAGAAACCAAGGAUUAUAGGGUUAUGAGAUUGAACUCACUAAAAAAAAGAGAUAGUAUUUUCUGAGAUGGAGACCAGAAUUCUCAAAAACUUCCUUUGCCUUCAGUUCUACUUAGAUCAGUUUGUUCUGAACUAUCUGGCUAUGGCCCUUAUACCACUCUAUUCAUUACCUGUGAUCUCAUCCAUUUUCUUUUUUAUUUCUUUUUAUAGCCACAUUUAUGGCAUAUGGAAGUUCCCUAGGCUAGGGAUUUAAUCAGAGCUGCAUCUUCAGCCUAUGCCACAGCCACAGCAAUACUCCAACCAACUCUGUAACUUGCAGUACACCAGAUCAUUAACCCACUGAGCAAGGCCAGGGAUCAAACCCGCAUCCUCAGAGAGACAACAUCAGGUCCUUAACCCACUGAGG
rnacentral:lncRNA from 1 species